AUGGGCGAGCUUGCGAGUAGAUCCACAUCUUUCCUGGUGGACAGAUGCCUGAAGCACACGACGGCGCCUACCCAGGAGGAGAGUCUUCACAGUCUGCAACGGCUGCUAAUGUGGGUUCGUAUCAUCGUCGAGGAGGCAGAUGACCGGCUCAUCACAAACCAGGGCAUGCUGCAUCAACUCGGCAUCCUGAAAAGGGAGAUGUACAGAGAAUAUUACACCCUCGACAUCUUCAGUUGCCUUGUCCAUGGAGAUGAUGUAGUAGGAGUACUACUCGGACUAUGCGUGCUGAUACUUGUCCGACCAGGACGCAACACCACACAACACGUCGUGGUUAUUCCUACAGAUGACAGGAGAAAAGAUCAUAAAGUCAAUUACUCCUUUGCCGCAUCUAAGUUCAACCCUGCCAAGCGUGUAUGUUUCUGCAGUGGCAACGGUGAGGGUGCAGCACAAGCUAAGCUACUGGAGCAAGUUCUUGGCAGCGUAAGGGACACCAUUGAAGAUGUAAGUGGGUUUGUCAUGUUUCCAAAUGCAUGCCCACGUCUGCAGCGCCAACCGUACAACGUGUAUCUGGUGCUGGAUAAGUGCAUGUUUGGACGCCAAAUGGAGAUGGAGCAUAUCAUGAACUUCCUGUUGCAAGCAGAGACUACUCCUAGUUCCACAGAUAAUCCGGUUGUCCUGCCGAUCAUCGGUCCUGCGAAAGUUGGAAAGAGCACCCUGAUCGAACAUGCUUGCAACCAUGAAAGGGUGCGCAACCACUUCUCCCAGGAGGUAGAAUCAAGCAUAGAGACCCUAACAUGUGGAGGUAGAAUCAAGCAUGAAAACCGUGGCAUGGGCGGUGGAAGGACACUGAUCAUCAUUGAGCUGCUUCUGGAUAUCAGCGCGUGCAGGGAGGGGAGGUGCGAAGGCUGGUGCUCCCACGGGCCACGGCGAUGGGCUCUCCGUGUGAGUUCUCCCUUUCCGGUGUUGAAUCUGAGCUGUUGGCGAUCGCCGCCGUCCGAACCCCGUGCGAGGCCACCCUCGCCGUCCCAACAUCGCCCGCCGCCGCCCUCGGCGUCUGAACGUCGCCCGUCGCCGCAUCUCACCGUCCCAACUUCACCCGUCGCCGCAUCUCACCGUCCCAACGUCGCCCGUCGCUGCAUCUCACCGUCGUCUGACGACGCGGACGUGAAGGGCCCGAUGUCUGACGCCGCCCUCGCCGCCCGAACCACGUCCAACACCGCCCUUGCCGGCCCGACGUCUGACGCCGCCUCCGCAGCACAGUCGUCGAACGCCAUCGACGUCUACACCGCAGGCCAAGUUAGGCGUGUUGACAUGGACGAAGAAUCCGCAUUCGGGAGGGACGAGAAUGGUACUGAUAAGGUGACUAAGACCGAUAACGAUAAUUUGAACAAAGAUGAUGACAGCAGCGACAACGAUUCCGUCUCGUCAUAUGAUAUCUUACCUCCGGAGGAUUUUGAUAAUAAUGAACAUGGCGCAAAUAGCGAAAACGAAGAUGUGGACGUUGACAAUGUGCAACAUAGUUGGCAGGAAUCAUUUGCAGAUAACUUGAGCCAGGAGGAGUCAGAUGGAACUGGGCGUAGGAGCCCCGCGCGGGCGAGGGGAGGGGGCGUGGGCCGGGGGAGGAGCCCCGCGCGGGCGAGGGGAGGGGGCGUGGGCCGGGGGAGGAGCCCCGCGCGGGCGAGGGGAGGGCCAGCCCGUUUUUUCCUUUUCUUUCUGUGCGCCCCGUUGGACCCUGCUGCUAGGCCCGCUAGUGGGCUCGAUCAGCCGCCCGAGUCGCCUUUGGGCUUGAUUUGGGUAGCUUCUAAAGUAGCGGCCGGAAACAACAGCCCGCACUGA
rnacentral:rRNA from 1 species